CUAAGAUAAAAAGAAUAUCUUGUUAUUGAAGAAUUCGAAUUGCAAUGUAAUUAUUCUUAAUCUUUGGAAUCGUAGAAAAUUUGUUUUAUUUAACAUGAAGAUAAUAGAUAUAGGAAAUGGUUGCAGUGUUCAUUGUUCCAAUAGUCUUUUUUUAUGGAGAUUAAACCUUGCUUAUCUUUUAUAAAUGUAUGUUUUUAUUUAUAUAUCUAUACUUCGUAUCUAUGUCAAAGAAAUUCUUCAUAUUUCCGCUUCAAACCGAUAUGUCUUUUAACAUUUCGAUACUUCAAAACUUAGUGGCUCUUAAAUUAGUAAGUUGCAUUUGACACUAUAUGGUCGUAUUUUUUUUGGAUAUGCGUUAUUACGAUGAGUCGAGUUGGCAAGUGAAUGUUAUGUAACGUAUCAUGUUAGUUACAUAUGUUGGGAUUUUUUAUUUAUUCUUCUUUCGUAAUCAGUUAACUGUAAAAUGCCAAUUAAAAAACGUAAAAAAUUACAAAAAAGGGGAUUCUGAGUUUGCAGCUCCAACUUUAACUACACGGGGAUCUCUUAGAAAUUCAAAUGUAACGUUUGGUUACGGUUGCGACGCAGUAUGCAUAAAAAAAGAGAUACUUCGGAAUAUGUUAUCAAAUUUAAAUAGCGGGAUUCAGACUACGCCAAAAGCCCAAUAUCAGAAUACUAUCGUUGCAAAAGGAAAUCAAUCAAGUACUGAAAAUAAAAAUUGCGAUGAGAAAUGUGACAAGAAUAAAAAUUCUCUCAACGAUUUUGAUAAACAGUUAUGUGACCUACACUGCAAAACUAAUAGACCAAGUUCCAGAAAUAUUUCAACGGAGCCUUUUAGCAAUACAAUAAAUAAACCUGUAUUAGGAGUUUCUAUAGCUAAGUUUAUAACUUUUGACCGUGAGUAUGCUAAUAGAAUUUAUAGUAAAAGUUUUCGGAAUAGAUUUUUUUGAUGCCGAUUUUUACUUGUAUUAAAAAAGAUAUAAUUAUGUAUAUAUUAUAUGUUUUGUAAUGUUACAAAGUAUACGCAAAUAAGUUAUAUGUAAGAUAUAUGUAAAAAUGUUUAUAUUACUGAACAAAAAUAGAUACUUAUA